rnacentral:tRNA from 1 species
AAUAAUAUAGUUUAAAUAAAAUUUUAAAUUGCAAAUUUAAAGAUAGAUCAUUCUUAUUAUUU